AUACGGGUGCCAGAAAGUUUAAUGGGUUAGUUUUAAGCGCUGAAUAUGAGUUUGUUCUCCCUGUAUA
rnacentral:tRNA from 1 species